rnacentral:rRNA from 1 species
AUUGAACGCUGGCGGCAGGCUUAACACAUGCAAGUCGAGCGGAGAUGAGGUGCUUGCACCUUAUCUUAGCGGCGGACGGGUGAGUAAUGCUUAGGAAUCUGCCUAUUAGUGGGGGACAACAUUCCGAAAGGAAAGCUAAUACCGCAUACGUCCUACGGGAGAAAGCAGGGGAUCUUCGGACCUUGCGCUAAUAGAUGAGCCUAAGUCGGAUUAGCUAGUUGGUGGGGUAAAGGCCUACCAAGGCGACGAUCUGUAGCGGGUCUGAGAGGAUGAUCCGCCACACUGGGACUGAGACACGGCCCAGACUCCUACGGGAGGCAGCAGUGGGGAAUAUUGGACAAUGGGGGGAACCCUGAUCCAGCCAUGCCGCGUGUGCGAAGAAGGCCUUAUGGUUGUAAAGCACUUUAAGCGAGGAGGAGGCUACUGAGACUAAUACUCUUGGAUAGUGGACGUUACUCGCAGAAUAAGCACCGGCUAACUCUGUGCCAGCCGCCGCGGUAAUAC